UCACAGAGAGGUCAGAGAUGUGAGAGAGGAGAGCAUGGACCCUCACAGAGAGGUCAGAGAUGUGAGAGAGGAGGGCACGGACCCUCACAGAGAGGUCAGAGAUGUGAGAGAGGAGAGUAUGGACCCUCACAGAGAGGUCAGAGAUGUGAGAGAGGAGAGCAUGGACCCUCACAGAGAGGUCAGAGAUGUGAGAGAGGAGGGCACGGACCCUCACAGAGAGGUCAGAGAUGUGAGAGAGGAGGGCAUGGACCCUCACAGAGAGGUCAGAGAUGACAGAGGAGGGCAUGGACCCUCACAGAGAGGUCAGAGACGUGAGAGAGGAGAACAUGGACCUUCACAGAGAGGUCAGAGAUGUGAGAGAGGAGGGCAUGGACCCUCACAGAGAGGUCAGAGAUGUGAGAGAGGAGGGCACGGACCCACACAGAGAGGUCAGAGAUGUGAGAGAGGAGGGCAUGGACCCUCACUGAGAGGCCAGAGAUGUGAGAGAGGAGGGCAUGGACCCACACAGAGAGGUCAGAGAUGUGAGAGAGGAGGGCAUGGACCCUCACAGAGAGGUCAGAGAUGACAGAGGAGGGCAUGGACCCUCACAGAGAGGUCAGAGAUGUGAGAGAGGAGGGCAUGGACCCACACAGAGAGGUCAGAGAUGUGAGAGAGGAGGGCACGGACCCACACAGAGAGGUCAGAGAUGUGAGAGAGGAGAGUAUGGACCCUCACAGAGAGGUCAGAGAUGUGAGAGAGGAGGACACGGACCCUAACAGAGAGGUCAGAGAUGGGCAAUUUAUUCCUUUUCUAAUGUGAUUGAGAGUGCAUGUAAACACUCGUUGGAAUUGAACCACGAAACUGAAAGGACUGCACUUGUGCAAUGACUAGCGUAAUGAUGCAUGAUCAUUUUGAAUAAAGUGUUUUAUAAGUGUCCUGUAAUUAUGAAACUUUUCUUUCAUUCGACAAUUAUGAAAUGGAGAGGGACAACCUCUCUCCAGUCCUUGUUUUGGAUAUUCAUCCACAGGUAAUCUGUUUUGGGCACAGCAAGGGGCUUUUCUGCUGCGUGAUACAUACGAGCAGGAUGGCACAGCGGUUUAUAUGUAUAUUAAUCCAUAAAUGGUUACUUAUUAAUUCUACCGUUUAA